GUUUCUUCGAUAUUAUUGAAUUUCUUUCGACAGCAGAUGCAACAUCUUAUACCAUAUCUCCCUUUUUCCAUGCGAUUGCUGAAAUUGACAAUUUAUUUGGAACAAUCCACGCUCCUGUCGCGUGUAUGUCAUAUAAAUCGUCCCGGUGGCUGCCGCGGUGGUUAACGCAAACAAAACGGACAGAAAUAAAUGCAACAAAAUCGGAUAAAAGCACUUUUGAUGAUCUACGGAAGCAUGGUCGGGAGUUGCUGUGGACGAGAUUCAUUUACUGUGGCAGUGGAGGUUGUAAAACCGAAGUUUGAUAAACAUACUAUCAAAGCAAAACCAAAUACGCGCUGGUGCAGAUAAGCACUGCAACAAGUAAAGCAAGUGUACAUGAACAUUCAAUUAAUCAACGUAGAACCUACUUGAAAAAUAUGUUGCUUACACGCGGAAAUUAAUGUGAUGAAUCUGCCGACAGCCGAAUAGAUUUUUAUUCUUUCAAUUUCUCGUUAUUUGGAAUAUUGUUUAAUUCAUUCCAAUCACACCGCGCUCGUUCCACGAGACUUUGCAUCUGAGGGUGCUGUUGACUGUGUUUAGUAUCUGUUUUUACAUGUAAACGUAAAAUGUUAUACUUUAUUGUGUAAUACAGCUAUGGAAGACUAUGGACUGUACUAGGAGACUUGUAGAAAAAUAUCCACGUCGUUAUUCUGUUGUUACAAAUGUUGUAAAUUAAAAGCGAAUAAUGUAAUUAAAAUUUUUCCAGAUAUUUUUAUUUGUAAUGUUGGAAACAUCUUUUGUGGCUCGAGUGCUUUCAAAUAAAUUAUCAUGAAUAAUUAUGCAAAACAUAUAUAAAUAUAUAAUCACAUUUCAACUAUUCAUUAAAUUUGUAUUAAAGAAUUUCGUUAUUGUAAAGUUAUUGUAAAGUUGCUAUAAUAAAGAAAGUAUGAAUCU